ACGGGUGAGUAACGCGUAGGAAUCUGCCUGGUAGUGGGGGACAACGUCUCGAAAGGGACGCUAAUACCGCAUACGCCCUACGGGGGAAAGGGGGGGAUCUUCGGACCUCUCGCUAUCAGAUGAGCCUGCGUCGGAUUAGCUAGUUGGUAGGGUAAAGGCCUACCAAGGCGACGAUCCGUAGCUGGUCUGAGAGGACGAUCAGCCACACCGGAACUGAGACACGGUCCGGACUCCUACGGGAGGCAGCAGUGGGGAAUAUUGGACAAUGGGGGCAACCCUGAUCCAGCCAUGCCGCGUGUGUGAAGAAGGCCUUCGGGUUGUAAAGCACUUUAGGGGGGGAGGAAGGUUCCAAAGCGAAUACCUUUGGGAAUUGACGUUACCCCCAGAAUAAGCACCGGCUAACUUCGUGCCAGCAGCCGCGGUAAUACGAGGGGUGCAAGCGUUAAUCGGAAUUACUGGGCGUAAAGCGCGCGUAGGCGGUUAGGUAAGUCGAUUGUGAAAUCCCCGGGCUCAACCUGGGAAUUGCAGUCGAGACUGUCUGACUAGAGUGUGGGAGAGGGUGGUGGAAUUCCCGGUGUAGCGGUGAAAUGCGU
rnacentral:rRNA from 1 species